rnacentral:rRNA from 1 species
UACGAAGGGUGCAAGCGUUACUCGGAAUUAUUGGGCGUAAAGGGCGUGUAGGCGGCCGCGUAUGUCCCAUGUGAAAGCCCUCGGCUCAACCGGGGAACUGCAUGGGAAACGGCACGGCUUGAGUCCGGGAGAGGAGAGCGGAAUUCCCAGUGUAGCGGUGAAAUGCGUAGAUAUUGGGAGGAACACCGAUUGCGAAGGCAGCUCGCUGGGACGUAACUGACGCUGAGACGCGAAAGCGUGGGGAGCAAACAGG